UAUGUGGCCGGACCCAUCAUAGAUGGAGGGCAUAUUAGGUAUCCUAUGCAUUUUUGUUAAUCUUAGCCCUCAAAGCUUCUUCACCGCAGCCCAAUAAGGUCUGUUUGGCAAGAAAUAGUAGUAGAGCACUAUUUUGCGCCGUAGACUUUUCUUCUUGGAUCUCUGAAAACCAAAUCGGAGAUCAAAGCUUUCUGAAACAUAUCAGCAAUGUCACGACGAGAUACACUCAAACGCAUCAUUUCUCCUCUCUACUCAUCGUAUCGUUUCGUCUCGUCAUCUUCUUCUCAAAUCUCAAAUCCCAAACCAAACCUAAUUUCCUACACCUCCCCACUAUUUAAACUCCAUCAUCAUCAUCAUCAAACUUUAGAUUUUUCUGCUCCUCAGAAGAUAAAACAACGAAUAAGAUCGGAUUAUUACUCCUAAUUUAAAAAAAAUUCAUUGGUAUUAGACAUUAUUAUGAUAAUUAAGAGUUUGAUAAGCUGGUAGAAGAAUACAGGAGUGGGAUUAAGGAAAUGCUCUCGGCACUGUUGAAAGCAAUUUGGGCUAGGAAAGUAUCAGGGGAACAUGAUGGAUUGGAAGAAAUUUCAAACAGAUUUAAAAAAGAUGGUGCUGACAGUAAAUGAUUGCGCCCGUCUUGAUGGUCUUACGUUUAAGAUAAUAUUGAAUUUACAUUACAGUUGAAUUAUCUUUUGUUGGCUUUCCAUUAGAAUAAAUAACAUGUUGCCAAGUGAAUUUGCCGAAUCAACAAAUUAGCCUUCUUGUAUUUGUGCAUCCGGCAACAUUGUGCUUCUAUUGUCCAUGCCAUUACACAUCCGAGCAAUUUUUAUUUUAGUUAUGGUAUUGAUGUCCUGACUGUUGGUCUUUUGUUCAUUUACAUUAUUACAAAGUUGUAUGAAGGAGUUUCAUUUGUUGGAUGAUAUGCAACAUUGAAAACAACAGUAACUUGGAGUUUAUAUGAAUAAUAUGUUAGUUCUUUAAAUUCGAUAGUUAUAAGUUC